UACGUACGAGGCGAGCGUUAUCCGGAAUUACUGGGCGUAAAGCGCGCGCAGGUGGCUUGGUAAGUGAGAUGUGAAAUCUCCCGGCCUAACUGGGAGGGGACAUUUCAGACUGGCAGGCUUGAGGACAGCAGAGGUAGGUGGAAUUCCUGGUGUAGUGGUGAAAUGCGUAGAGAUCCGGAGGAACCCCAGAGGCGAAGGCGGCGCUCUGGCUCGCAACUGACGCUCAGACACGACAGCAUGGGGAGCGAACGGG
rnacentral:rRNA from 1 species